UUAUUGGAAAUGUUAUUUUUAAGCCAUGAUUAUUAUGAGUUAUGAUCUUUAAAGUUAAAUGAUUUGGCGGUAUUUUAGUCUGUUCAGAGGAACCUGUCUCUUAAUUGAUAGUCCACGAUAAUUUUUACUUUUACUUUAAAUUUAUAUAUCGUCGUUUGUAAGAAUUUUUAGAGGAUAAUAAUUCUUGGAAUUUUUGAUUAUAAAAUAAUUCAGAUCAAGGUGUAGUUUAUGUAGAAGAUGGGAUGGGUUACAUUAUGAAUACAUGUGGUUUAUAAAUUUAUAUAUUUAUGAUAAAAUGGAUUUGUUAGUAAUUUCUUUAUUUAKGGGAAUUGAUUUAGCUCUAAAAUAUG
rnacentral:rRNA from 1 species